rnacentral:rRNA from 1 species
AGAGUUUGAUCCUGGCUCAGAUUGAACGCUGGCGGCAUGCUUUACACAUGCAAGUCGAACGGCAGCACGGGAGCAAUCCUGGUGGCGAGUGGCGAACGGGUGAGUAAUACAUCGGAACGUGCCCAGUAGUGGGGGAUAGCCCGGCGAAAGCCGGAUUAAUACCGCAUAUGCCCUGAGGGGGAAAGCGGGGGACCGAAAGGCCUCGCGCUAUUGGAGCGGCCGAUGGCUGAUUAGCUAGUUGGUGGGGUAAAGGCCUACCAAGGCGACGAUCAGUAGCUGGUCUGAGAGGACGACCAGCCACACUGGGACUGAGACACGGCCCAGACUCCUACGGGAGGCAGCAGUGGGGAAUUUUGGACAAUGGGCGCAAGCCUGAUCCAGCAAUGCCGCGUGUGCGAAGAAGGCCUUCGGGUUGUAAAGCACUUUUGUUUGGAAAGAAAAGGUCAGUGCUAAUACCGCUGGCUGAUGACGGUACCAAUCGAAUAAGCACCGGCUAACUACGUGCCAGCAGCCGCGGUAAUACGUAGGGUGCAAGCGUUAAUCGGAAUUACUGGGCGUAAAGCGUGCGCAGGCGGUUGUGUAAGACAGAUGUGAAAUCCCCGGGCUUAACCUGGGAAUUGCAUUUGUGACUGCACGGCUAGAGUGCGUCAGAGGGGGGUGGAAUUCCACGUGUAGCAGUGAAAUGCGUAGAUAUGUGGAGGAACACCAAUGGCGAAGGCAGCCCCCUGGGAUGACACUGACGCUCAUGCACGAAAGCGUGGGGAG